AUAAUUUAAAGCCUUUUGUUCCUGAAAAAAAAAAAAAAACCCACCUUUGUCACUAAGGGGAUUUUAGAGGAGUGUGAUGAUCUCAUGGAUGGAGGGAGUCAAUGUCUUGCAUAGACAGUUGGGGUAUCUGGAGAGGUAGGACCAUAUCAUGGUAAUGAUUUUGGAUGAGAUUGUCUUUAUCUUUGUGGAGAUACAUGAGAUGAAUGGAAGAAGAUAGAAGAGAAGAAAUGGAGUGACAGUGAGAAACAUAGAGGAGGAGGGAGAGUUUCCGAGGGACUUCCAGAACUUUGUUAUUUCAAUUUCUGAAUGAAUAGAAAUUAUGUAUUUUUAACAUCUUUAAUCUUGGU
rnacentral:misc_RNA from 1 species